UGCCCCCCUUCGAAGAAGAGGGGGUAUAUUGCUUUGCUCAUGUCGGUCGGUCGGUCUGUCGGUCUGUCCGUCCACCAGGUGGUUGUCAGACGAUAACUCAAGAACGCUUGGGCCUAGGAUCAUGAAACUUCAUAGGUACAUUGAUCAUGACUUGCAGAUGACCCCUAUUGAUUUUGAGGUCACUAGGUCAAAGGUCAAGGUCACGGUGACCCGAAAUAGUAAAAUGGUUUCCGGAUGACAACUCAAGAACGCAUACGCCUAGGAUCAUGAAACUUCAUGGGUAGAUUGAUCAUGACUCGCAGAUGACCCCUAUUAAUUUUGAGGUCACUAGGUCAAAGGUCAAGGUCACGGUGACCUGAAAUAGUAAAAUGGUUUCCGGAUGAUAACUCAAGAACGCAUACGCCUAGGAUCAUGAAACUUCAUGGGUAGAUUGAUCAUGACUCGCAUAUGACCCCUAUUGAUUUUGAGGUCACUAGGUCAAAGGUCAAGGUCACGGU